UUGAACGUCUGCACAUCUUCUUCAUAUCUUUACUUUUUCUUCUUCAUAUUUUCGCGUCUUCUUGUUCACGAUUUCUUCAUCUUCUCUUCCAGAAUUUCUUUCUUCUUUGGCAUCAUCUCCUUAUUCUUUUUCCAUUAUCAGGUACACAACGAUGGAACGAACAAUAUAGUUACAAAGAUCAAUCAUCCAAGAAGAAUAUCAAGUCCAAAAAAGGGUUAGAAUCUCAUCACUGUCUUUAAGACGUUUUACAGCUCUGUAUGGUAUGGAAACAGUUCAAAAUUGGAUGUCACGCGUUCCAACGAUAAAACAGUCAUCUCUAUCAAAAGUACAUUGGAGUAGCCUAUCUUCUCACCCCUUUAAUACAUAGGUCCUUCAAGCCCAAACCCAUAACUCAAUGUAAGAGUUCGCAAUGAAGCUUCCACUUGCAAAUCAUUUUUAAAUAAAAUAGGGAUAGUUGCAAAUUU